UUAUGUUGCAUUUCACUAGUGUCUUAAUCAUAAUAAAUUUCUUGUGCAAGCAUUUGAAUGAUUAGUGUUGCUUUUUUGUCUAAUAAACGCUGUUGACAUUAUUAAUAAUUAAUUAAUUAAAAUUAGCGGGGUGGUUUAGGGCAUUAAAUGCAUUUUGACAAGUGGCUUAGGACACUUGUUAACAACACUCUUUUUUAAUUAAAUCAUAAAUACUAAUUGUUGACUGUUUUGGUGUUUGAUCAUUUGAUUCAUCUGAAUUUUUUUUUAAAUAAAAGACUAUGAGUUAAAUUACAUUAUAUAUAUAAUAUAAUUUUUAGGGACAAAAGAGUAUAUUUUGUAUUUAUUGGUGUGAUAGCUCAAACAUAGUUUUGUAUCCUUUCUAUCACACUCCAUUGUGUCCUUAAUG
rnacentral:misc_RNA from 1 species